rnacentral:tRNA from 1 species
CCGUCCUUGGCAUAUCGGUCGUGCACCGGGCUUUUAACCCGGAGAGGAAGGUUCGAUUCCUUCAGGGCGGACCA